GCAUCGGAGCCGCGGGCGGUCAGGAAUUUGACACCGGGGCAUGAAUAUUAAGCUGUUUGGCUCUAAGCCGCGUUAGCCGGAAGAGCAAUGGCUGCGGCUGCAGCAGCUUCUCACCUGAACCUGGAUGCUCUCCGGGAAGUGCUAGAAUGCCCCAUCUGCAUGGAGUCUUUCACUGAAGAGCAGCUGCGGCCCAAGCUGCUGCACUGUGGCCAUACCAUCUGCCGCCAGUGUCUGGAGAAGCUCCUGGCCAGUAGCAUCAAUGGUGUCCGCUGUCCCUUUUGCAGCAAGAUUACUCGCAUCACCAGCCUGACCCAGCUGACCGACAACCUGACGGUGCUGAAGAUUAUUGACACAGCUGAGCUCAGUGAGGCCGUCGGGAAGCUCAUGUGUCGAGCCUGCGGUCGGCGGCUGCCUCGCCAGUUCUGCCGAAGCUGUGCUUUGGUGUUGUGUGAACCCUGCCGGGAGGCAGAUCACCAAUCUCCGGGCCACUGCACACUUCCUGUCAAGGAAGCAGCCGAGGAACGGAGGAGGGACUUCGGGGAGAAGUUGACUCGCCUAAGGGAACUUACAGGAGAGCUGCAGAGGAGGAAAGCAGCCUUGGAGGGUGUCUCCAGGGAUCUUCAGGCAAGAUAUAAGGCUGUUCUUCAAGAAUAUGGCCGUGAGGAGCGCAGGGUCCAGGAAGAGCUAGCCCGCUCUCGGAAGUUCUUCACAGGCUCUUUGGCUGAGGUUGAGAAGUCCAACAGUCAAGUGGUAGAGGACCAGAGCUACCUACUCAACAUUGCGGAGGUGCAGGCCCUGUCUCGUUGUGACUACUUUCUAGCUAAGAUCAAGCAAGCUGAUGUAGCAAUCCUGGAGGAGACAGCUGAUGAGGAGGAGCCAGAGCUCACCGCCAGCCUACCCCGGGAGCUUACCCUGCAAGAUGUGGAGCUUCUUAAAGUACGGCAUGUUGGUCCUCUGCAAAUUGGCCAGGCUGUUAAGAAGCCCCAGACAGUUAACAUGGAAGAUUCCUGCGCAGUGGAGGAGGGAGCUGCAGCCUCGCCUCAGCCUCUGUAACCUUUAGAAAGACCUGUGAAACAGCGGAGUUCUGAGGCAGCCUCCAGUAUCCAACAGUGUCUGUGUCUCAAGAAGAUGGGGGCGAAAGGCAGCACUCCAGGCAUGUUCAAUUUUCCAGUCAGUCUCUAUGUGACCAGUCAGAGUGAGGUGCUGGUUGCCGACGGGGUAACUAUUGCAUACAAGUGUUCAACCGAAAAGGCUUUUUGAAGGAGAUCGGCCGCAAUCCCGGUGGCAUUGACAACUUUGUGCUAAGCUUCCUUGGAACCUGACUUGCCCAGUCUCACUCCUCUUUCAGUGGCCAUGAACUGCCAUGGGCUGAUUGGUGUCACUGAUGGCUAUGACAACUCCUUUAAAGUCUAUACCUUGGAUGGCCACUGUGUGACCUGUCACAGGAGCCAGCUGAGCAAAGCAUGGGGCAUCACAGCCUUACCCUCUGGCCAGUUCGUGGUGACUGAUGUGCAAGGCGGGAAGCUCUGGUGUUUCACAGUAGACCGAGGAGCAGGAGUAGUCAAAUACAGUUGCCUCUGACAUGCUGUGAGGCCCGUUUGUCACCUGUGAUGCUGAAGGCACAGUCUACUUCACCCAAGGCUUGGGUCUCAAUGUGGAGAACCAACAGAAGGAACACCACCUGGAGGGUGGCUUCUCCAUCAGCUCCGUGGGCCAGGACAGGCAGCUGGACCGGCAGAUCAGUCACUUCUUCUCUGAGAAUGAAGAUUUCCUCCAUUGCAUCACUGGCAUGUGUGUGUGUGGAUGCUCGGGUGACCUCACUGUCGCUGAUAGCAGCUGCAAGGAAAUUCUCCAUUUUCCCAAGGGCUGUGGCUACAGCAUCCUUAUUAGAGAGGACCUUUACCUAUCCAGCGGGCAUCGCCCUCACACCCAAGGGACAGCUGCUGGUCUUGGACUGUUGGGAUCACUGCGUCAAGAUCUACAGCUGCCAUCUGAGAAGAUAUCCCACCCCGUUAAAAGAUGAGAAAUACCCGUUUCUUCUUUCCCCCAACUGAGUUUCCUUCCCCUUCCUUUGUGGUUGGUGGUGCUGUAGAGUAAAUGUGUCCUGUGUCCUGAUGGUUGCUCUAGAAUCGUAGAUGUUCUAGCGUUCAGUGGUUUCGUUUGUUAUGCCCCUCUUCCCCUCCCCCUCCCCUUCUUUCCUUCUAAAUUUAGAGCUUAGAGCUUUAAAGGGUACCUUAUCCCAAAUAGAAUAGAUGACAAUGCUCUUAGCAGAAGUUGCUUAGAAGUUAGGCCCUUCCAAGGCUUCAGUAAAAAAAAAAAAAAAACGACUUCAGCCUUUGGCCUUGUGUUUGAAAUUUGUAUUGGUAUUGAAUGGUCAUUGAUCUUUCCCUUUGGACUCUGAGGUCCCUAGUCUACUGUCUCCUUCCUGUUACGGUGUGCUUCAUCUGUGGCGUUAACUCUGGCUGCAUUCUGUGUGCAUGCUCCAGUGGGAUCUGCUUGACCCUUCAGUGAUAUUAUAUCUUCGUAGCAUGGUGUCUCCUUUGAUCACCUUUACCAGUGUGAGAGUGUAUCAUUAAGUGCCACCGAAGGUGACACAUGGUCCUUUGGGAAGCAGGACCUCUUGACUGGGGAAUUUCUGCCACCAUAGAUUGUCUUCUCAUGGCAGAUGAGCCAGAGGAUGGUUUGAGUGACCCUAGUUGGAUGGUGUUGAAUAAUUCAGUCUAGCAAUCAGUUGCCUUCUAAAAGAGUUUGCAGGGCAGAAUUAUGCCAUAGCCGAGGCAGAUGGGAACAUACAAGCAGAUGCUAACAUAUCCAGCAAAUGUGGGCUAUUUUCUAGGGCUCAAAACAUACUCCUUCCUCUGACCAAUGCUAAGAGUUAUUGGAAGAAUUUUAUAAUGUGGGCUUCUACCAACAAUGUGGGAAGGUCAACACAUCCGUUUUCAUCACUAAAGAACAAACCAUUAGGUAGCUAACUCUGUGUUUUGUUCAAGUGAGUGCAUAUUGUUUGACUUUGAGGUUUAUUUCUGUUGUAUCAAGCAUUAAACUAAUAAAACUAAUAACUUUCUUCAAAAAAAAAAAACAGAGCUAUUUUUCCUCUUUAUCUACCCUCUCCCUCGUUUUAACUUUUCUUAGCAUAUUAUUGCCUAACAUUUUUUAGGCCCAAUGACUCCCCCCACCCCACUCCCAUUUUUCUUGUUUAAUUUUGAAGGACUCAGUUUUACUUGACAUCCUGGUUAUUUCCCAGGGUGCUCUCUGGCUGAACUCUGUCUCUCAUCUGUCAUCCUGACACAUUCUAAUAUUAAAGGUUCUUUCAAUGAUCA